UACGAAGGGUGCUAGCGUUGUUCGGAAUUACUGGGCGUAAAGCGUGUGCAGGCGGGCUAGCAAGUGGUGUAUGAAAGCUCCCGGCUCAACCGGGAAGGGUUAUGCCAGACUGCUAGUCUUGAGUGCGAGAGAGGAGCGUGGAAUUCCGGGUGUAGUGGUGAAAUGCGUAGAGAUCCGGAGGAACCCCAGAGGCGAAGGCGGCGCUCUGGCUCGCAACUGACGCUCAGACACGACAGCAUGGGGAGCGAACGGG
rnacentral:rRNA from 1 species